rnacentral:pre_miRNA from 1 species
UCUUACAGAUGAGCAAAGAAAGUGGUUUCUUGAAUGGAAUCUAUUCGUGGUGAAAAUGCUAUGAA